CUGCAUCUUCUUAGUUCAACAAACUAUAUUCGACAAGUCCACAAGAUCUUUUUACCCUUUUCUGGGUCUAAUAAAUACGAUCCACCAACACAGCUUAUUGAAAAUUAAAUCCAAAAUCAUAAACAUAAACCCCAGAUCUACAAGCAUUUAUUUGGAAAGAAGGGUAACACACUUCAUUCCUAAUUUUAAAUACAAAGGGGAUGUCCAAUACAAUUGGUGCACAUUAUUAUUGUAAGUUCAGACAUAAAAUUCAUGGGUCCUCCAAAAAAUCCCAGAAAAAACUGGUCAGAUGCGCAUCCUCAUGCUUCUACAAUCUGAAAAUUUAUGCACCACCUGAUAGCUGGAGCUGCUUGAUGUGCAUGAUCUGUUUUCCAGGAUUCAAGCCUUUAGGGCAGGCUCGGGCACAAUUCAAUAUGGUAUGG
rnacentral:misc_RNA from 1 species